rnacentral:lncRNA from 1 species
CUGGAGGAGCAUGGGCUAAGUCAUGGGCAAGUAGACGCAGCGAUGAUCUGAGGAUGAGGGGCCACGGGAAAGAAGAGAACCCUGAGCGUGGCUGGGGCAAAGCUCAAAGGGUUCCCUUCAAUCAAGACUAUGGACGGAGAGGAGUCAGAGCAAGUGCUUAUGGCAGACAGACAAUGCACAUUGCGUCUGCAGCACCCCCCUCCACUCCUCGUCCCCCACAAAUGACCAGGAGAAGGUGACAACAGAGGGAAUCCACAGAAGAGAUGACAGUCACGUUAACAAGAAGGUUCAAGGAGGGAUCAUGCUAACGUGUGCAAAGUGAAACUGGGGAGGCUUUUGCUAUUUAUGGAGUAUAGUAUGGAGGAGACUGGACAGCUGGGUCCGGAUUCUGCCACACUGCUGGGGCGAGAAGUUGAUUCAGACGCAAAGAUUGGUAAAUUGUCGCGCUUUCUUUGAGCUCAUUGAGAAGCUGCGUCUGGAAAUAGGAACCUCCCCCGACUCGCAACACCUCACCCUCAUCAUGUUUGUCUCAGAUUGUCCUUCCAGGCCCCUUGUCUGGGGAUGGAAUGGCCUCCCAACUCUGUGACAAGAAGAAAAGAACAGCAAACCAGCACAACCGUAAAACCCGCUCUUGAGAGCAACCACCGGACUUUAUCACGUAUCACGUGAUAUGCAACUGUUUGCAGUGGGCAAGAGGUACCUCUGCCUCAGAGGCUCCGCCAUAGACAGAAAGCUUGAUCCGGAAUGUCAGUUGAUUGACCCAACCUUCCUGAGUGUGUUUCUGAGGAUCUUCGUGGGCCCUCGGCCGAUGAUAUUUGUCCUUUUACUUGGAAGCUUUGCUCAGGAGUUUGGCGUGGGACCCUCAGUCCACACGCUCCAGCUGUGCUGGGGUCCCCCAGGGCCUCCCUAAUCAGUUUCUGCUGGUUGCUGUGUCUGAUCCGAUGCUCUACCGUUUGUUUUUCCGUCUCUUGUUCUUGCUCUUUUUUACUCCGGCUUGAUGUAUACUUAAUAAACUCCUUUGAAACCGAAA